rnacentral:rRNA from 1 species
CAAGUCGAGCGAACAGACGAGGAGCUUGCUCCUCUGACGUUAGCGGCGGACGGGUGAGUAACACGUGGAUAACCUACCUAUAAGACUGGGAUAACUUCGGGAAACCGGAGCUAAUACCGGAUAAUAUAUUGAACCGCAUGGUUCAAUAGUGAAAGACGGUUUUGCUGUCACUUAUAGAUGGAUCCGCGUCGCAUUAGCUAGUUGGUAAGGUAACGGCUUACCAAGGCAACGAUGCGUAGCCGACCUGAGAGGGUGAUCGGCCACACUGGAACUGAGACACGGUCCAGACUCCUACGGGAGGCAGCAGUAGGGAAUCUUCCGCAAUGGGCGAAAGCCUGACGGAGCAACGCCGCGUGAGUGAUGAAGGUCUUCGGAUCGUAAAACUCUGUUAUUAGGGAAGAACAAAUGUGUAAGUAACUAUGCACGUCUUGACGGUACCUAAUCAGAAAGCCACGGCUAACUACGUGCCAGCAGCCGCGGUAAUACGUAGGUGGCAAGCGUUAUCCGGAAUUAUUGGGCGUAAAGCGCGCGUAGGCGGUUUUUUAAGUCUGAUGUGAAAGCCCACGGCUCAACCGUGGAGGGUCAUUGGAAACUGAAAAACUUGAGUGCAGAAGAGGAAAGUGGAAUUCCAUGUGUAGCGGUGAAAUGCGCAGAGAUAUGGAGGAACACCAGUGGCGAAGGCGACUUUCUGGUCUGUAACUGACGCUGAUGUGCGAAAGCGUGGGGAUCA